AAUUUUAUUCUAGGAAGUCUGAAAUUAAAUCAACUGCUCAUUCUAAUAUUGGUCUGCUUGCUCGUGUUCAUCAUCAUCACCUAGGUGGUUAAAAACAUGAAAUAGACUAAAAUGAGUUAAAGAUUACGUAAGAAAUUCAUCACAACGUAAAUGUAAUAAAUAUAAGAAUUUUCAUAAGAAUUUUCAUUCUGAGAGCUUCAAU